AUUUUGGAAAUGUGCCUGCCCCUACUCUGCUUGUUUCAUUAAGGACGUGGGAUCCACACAGCCGAGUAUGACGAGCAUCUGUUCUACUCGGGUCAACCAGUCAUGUUUCCAACAGUCAGCGCCAUUUCUGGACAGGGGUGGCAAUUAAUCACAACCAUUGGAUGUGACUUCAGUGUUAAGGAGGGAUUGGAUCCAUCCAUAUUGAUCAUGUAAUGAAGCUGCUGUACCUUGGAUGACAGCGACCUGUUCUUUCUAUAACAGGACCACUCUUCCAUCUCCCUGUGCAUUUUGGUGAGUUAUUCCUUCCACCUCUUGCUUUUUUGUUUUGUUGAAACCAUUUCGUGGACAUGGAAUCUAUAGGAAAAUGGAAACUGUUUGUAUCUUAUAUGGAGAUCUGUGUGCUUGGUUUUGGAGUGCAGUUUUCUUCAGAUCCGAAUAGAAAUGUGCAAAAGUCAAGAGCGAAGUAGUCUUUUA